CCCUUAGAUGCUCUGGGCCGCACGCGCGCUACACUGGUCGAUGCAACGAGUUUCUUUCCUUGGCCGACAGGCCUGGGCAAUCUUUGAACAUCGAUCGUGAUAGGGAUAGAUUCUUGUAAUUUUUGAUCUUAAACGAGGAAUUCCUAGUAAACGCAAGUCAUCAGCUUGCAUUGAUUACGUCCCUGCCCUUUGUACACACCGCCCGUCGCACCUACCGAUUGAAUGGUCCGGUGAAAUCUCCGGACUGGCGUGAGUCGGAGCAAUCUGACAAACACCGGAAAGUUGAUUAAACCUUACCAUUUAGAGGAAGGUGAAGUCGUAACA
rnacentral:rRNA from 1 species